GCCGACGUAGCUCAGUUGGUAGAGCAGCUGAUUCGUAAUCAGCAGGUCGCCGGUUCAAGUCCGGCCGUCGGCUCCA
rnacentral:tRNA from 4 species